CCUACGGGAGGCAGCAGUGAGGAAUAUUGGUCAAUGGACGCAAGUCUGAACCAGCCAUGCCGCGUGCAGGAAGACGGCUCUAUGAGUUGUAAACUGCUUUUGUACGAGGGUAAACGCAGAUACGCGUAUCUGUCUGAAAGUAUCGUACGAAAAAGGAUCGGCUAACUCCGUGCCAGCAGCCGCGGUAAUACGGAGGAUUCAAGCGUUGUCCGGAUUUAUUGGGUUUAAAGGGUGCGUAGGCGGUCGGAUAAGUUAGAGGUGAAAUCCCGAGGCUCAACUUCGGAAUUGCCUCUGAUACUGUUCGGCUUGAGAGUAGUUGCGGUAGGUGGAAUGUAUGGUGUAGCGGUGAAAUGCUUAGAGAUCAGACAGAACACCGAUUGCGAAGGCAGCUUACCAAGCUACUUCUGACGUUGAGGCACGAAAGCGUGGGGAGCAAACAGGAUUAGAUACCCUAGUAGUC
rnacentral:rRNA from 1 species